rnacentral:rRNA from 1 species
GGGUUGUAGCUGGCCUUCCGAGGCAUGUGCACGCCCUGCUCAUCCACUCUACACCUGUGCACUUACUGUGGGUUUACCGGUCCUGAAACGGGCUCCUUUAUUCGGGCUUGUUGAGCGCACUUGUUGCCUGGGUUUAUCACAAACUCUAUAAAGUAUCAUAAUGUGUAUUGCGAUGUAACGCAUCUAUAUACAACUUUCAGCAACGGAUCUCUUGGCUCUCGCAUCGAUGAAGAACGCAGCGAAAUGCGAUAAGUAAUGUGAAUUGCAGAAUUCACUGAAUCAUCGAAUCUUUGAACGCACCUUGCGCUCCUUGGGAUUCCGAGGAGCAUGCCUGUUUGAGUGUCAUGAAAUCUUCAAUCUACAAACUUCUUAUGGAGUUUGUAGGCUUGGACUUGGAGGCUUGUCGGUCCCUUUACAGGUCGGCUCCUCUUAAAUGCAUUAGCUUGGUUCCUUGCGGAUCGGCUUGUCGGUGUGAUAAUGUCUACGCCGCGACCGUGAAGCGUGUUUGGGCGAGCUUCUAACCGUCUCUUUACAGAAACAACUUUUAUGACCUCUGACCUCAAAUCAGGUAGGACUACCCGCUGAACUU